rnacentral:lncRNA from 1 species
AGAGGGAGUGAUCCGCGGAUUGAGGUGGUUGAGAGAGAGGUGGAAGAGCUGGCCAGAAAACCGUGAGAGAGAUAGACUUGGCCGGCGGAACAAGGCUGAUGGCCAGAAGAGAUGGCCGGAAAAGAGAUGAUCGCCGGCGGAUGGGAUUGCUCAGGUGGAGAGAGUCUCGUGCUGAUAACGUGUUAAAAUUUGAGAAAAGAUUUGUGAGAAUGUGUUGUAUAUUUCUUAUUGCUUAC